rnacentral:lncRNA from 10 species
CACAAACUGUGUGGCUUAAAAUAACAGACAUGUAUUCCUCAUGGUUCUCGAGGCUGGAGGUCUGCAGGGCUGGUUCCUUUGGAGGCUGGGAGAAGGAAUCGGCCCCCUGCCUCUCUCCAGCUUCUGGUGGUGGCUGGGGCCAUCGGGGUACUGCUUGGCUCUCAGACACAUUGCCUGAUCUCUGCUCCAUGUUCACAUCUUCCACAUUCUCUUGUGUUGUCUUGGUUUUCUUCCCCUCUUCUUAUCAGGACACUAGUCACUUUGGAUGAAGGACCCACCAUACUUCAGUAUGGUUUCAUCUUAACUUGAUUGCUUCUGCAAAGACCCCCCACUUCCAGAUAAAGUCACCUUCACAGCGGUAUGGCACUUUGAGGUGAAAUAUGGCUCUAUUUAAUGUCACUGGUUUCUUGAAGCUCUGAGUUUUCUGGGACCACAAGUUUUACUUGAAGACCUUCUCCGAUCAAACAACUCUGCCGCUGCAGCUUGAAAACAACCACAGACAACACACACACAAAUCCAGCGUGGCUGUGUUCCGACGCAAUUUGACAAAAACAGGCACUGGCCAGACUUGGCCCAUGGACUGCAGUUUGCCAGCCUCUGAACUUAGAGGAAAAAAAUUGGAAGAAUGGAGUGAACCUUGAGCACAGGGAGGAGCAGGCACUGAAGCUGUCUGUGUGCUCUUUUCCUGUCUUGAUGGAGAACAAGACAUUUGUAUGCUUUCACAAAACAAAGACAAGUGUAACUGUGAGUUCAAAGAUUACAUCAUUGAUUUCAGUAGUGUUGAUACUUUAAGCAUUUGCUAUGUUUCCUCUGAGCUAUUGGGACAUUACACUGAGAUGCAGUCGGUGGUAUGGGGAGGUGCUCAGGGGUUCUCCUCUCUGCCCUCACUGCUUGGUGCUUACAGACAGCUACUGAAGCAGUGCCUUUCAUGCUGGGGAGCCUGACUAUUUGCAGGUUGUUAAAUCAAUUUAAUGGGUCGUGGUCUGCAUUUGAAAGAAUAGAACUGGCUCAACUUCCUUGGGCUAGAAUGGAAAAUCACAAGGUACAUCCUUUAUAGUAUUUUGUGAAUUUUUGUUGUACACUUGAACAUAUAUAAACAUAUAUGGGAUGCAUACAUAAUAAAGAACUAUUAGGGGAAAAUCAAGCUGUUUUUUGUAAAGUUAAAACUUUGGAAAGAGUAUAGUCGAGUCACAAACUUUUCUCUGUUAAGUUAUACCUAGAUGUGAUGAUUGUGAAAAAUUGGCAAACAAAAACUCUAGAAAAAGUUUGCAUUCAGAUUGUUUCCCAAUGGCUUCCUAAGUUACUGAAAGACAUCUCAACUAGAAUUUAGGAAUAGACACUUUCAGUGUUAU